GUAUGAUCUGGAAGAGCAACCAUCAAAAAAUAUAAUUCUGUCAGAUGAUUAGGAUGAAAGGCCUGAUAACAGAUUGUUCCCAAUGGAGGUUGAGUGAGAGGCAGAGAAGGGUCUAGUUCAGCUGUACUAGUGACUGCUGGCACUGAAGAGGAGCCAGCUGCAAAACAACAGAUUCGUUCAGACUUGAGAGUUCACAGCGGGGUCACACAGCCAGACCAGACAACAUAUACCGGGCUACGGUCACAUUGAAGGCCUGGAUGCUCAAUUCAGAUGUCAUUUGCCUCUGAUCUGACUUUCCAUAUUAUGAUCGCAUGGCCAGAGUUUACAUAUCAUAUGCAUAUCAAGGGCAAGAUUUUAGAUGACCAAAUUAGUUUGAUGAUAUCUAACGAAGAAAUCAUAAACAAGGACUGAGGCCACUUCAUUGUGAUUUGAGGUAACAUGUUUUUUUCUAACCAGAAUUUAUCAAUUAGUAAUCAACGACAACAAGGCGUCUACUUUUACCUUGCUGCACUUUGAUUGGACAAAGACAACUUCCUGGUUCAUGUUAAGAUGAUCCACUUAAGUUGGGCUUCCAGCAGCGUUGUAUCUUGGUGGCAUAAUGUCUCUGUGGAUAUUAAGCACGUGGCUUUUAAUUGCGGUGUUUGGACGCCUGGCCCAUAGCUACCCUCUUAAAAAUGAAUGGAAUCUGAAUGAGGCUGAUUUUGAUGGCCCCUUCACCAACAUGGACUCUUCUCGAAGCUACAACAAUGGCUAUUCUAAAAGUUCUUAUUCUGACCCUAGAUAUGAAACCCAAAAUGGUGGCUACUUCCCCCUUGAUCCUGUAGACGGUUAUGAUGGAUUUGGUGGUUCUGAAGGUUACCAAGAAAGCUAUAGCCAUUCUCCAGUAGCUUCACUGGGUGGUGGUGGUGGUGCUUCUUCUGGGUGGGUUCCUCGGACUACAGAUACCGGCACCAUCCGUCUUCCGAAACAACAGUUCCAAGCUGGUGAAUUACUGCGCUCUGAAGCAAUCCAUGAAGAUGGGCAUUCAGAAGGUGAAACGCAAGAACGUAACUACGUAGACGAUCCGACGUCAACACCGUAUGGCUUCCAGCCGGGCGAGCUGACCAACAUUGAGGCCUUGUAUGAAGGGGGACAUUUCGAAGGGGAAACCCAGGAACGGGGGUUCAGGCCUGCCAGACAGACGGAAGAAGGGCAGACGGCUAGAUCAGUAGGUGACGAGCCGGCCGACCCAGCGUUGUCUGCUGAUGAUGGUAACCCUACAGUCCUGUCUUCGCUCCGCCACUUCUUGCUCCUCUACAAGAGGGGUCUCCUAUAUCCAGGAACGAUGGAACACUACGCGUCAGAGUACACAGAAGGCAAGAAUGAGCGGGAGGAGCUGCAGAAAUGGCGACACGGCUUGUACUGAUGUGAACCACAGCUAUACAGACUCAAUAUAGCCGCUAUAUUGAUGGUGCUGUUACCAGUAAAAAACAGCCGAAGGAAUGUCUCAAUGAAGGGGAGUUUCAUUGCUUGGCUGUUGUCUGUCUACAGGAAAUGACUUGUCACUGUUUCCUGCUUGUUUACUUGGAAAGAAUAAAAUAUUGAUCAACCUGGC